UACGUAGGGGGCAAGCGUUGUCCGGAAUCAUUGGGCGUAAAGCGCGUGUAGGCGGCUUGGUAAGUCCGCUCUGAAAGCCCGGGGCUCAACCCCGGGAGGCGGGUGGAUACUGUCAAGCUCGAGUCCGGAAGAGGCGAGUGGAAUUCCUGGUGGUAGCGGUGAAAUGCGCAGAUAUCAGGAGGAACACCAAUGGCGAAGGCAGCUCGCUGGGACGUGACUGACGCUGAGACGCGAAAGCGUGGGGAGCAAACAGG
rnacentral:rRNA from 1 species